AGCUCGUUGGUCUGGAGGUAUGAUUCUCGCUUUGAAUACGAGAGGUCCUGGGUUCACAUCCCAAAUGAUCCC